UACCUGGACCCUGGGAGGGAUGCUGGGAAAUACAACAGGUGGUCCUGAGCUCACAGAACAAUUGGCAUCAGAACACGCCUCUCAAGAGUCUGAUACAGCCCUGUAAGCAAUCAAGGAAAGCUCCCUGGAAGAGGAGGUAGGAGGACCAGGAUCAGCUGGCAAGAACAAAGCAUUCUGGGUCUCCUGUCUCAAGUCUGUAAACUGGGAGCAAGGACAGAAGUCACUUGCCGGGGUGGCCGCAGGUUUAAGUGACAGGAAGACGUAGGAAACCCAGCAUGGGGUGACACCCACCUGGAACCGGCCUCUUCCCUCCGAGCCUCAGUUGCCUCCUUGCCAAACUAAAUGACAGUGAAGGACAAGAGGAGACACUGUGAAGACGUCCUGGAUCAAAUCUCACCACGCCUUUCAGUUAUUCCAGCCAAUA